AGUGAACGCUGGCGGUAGGCCUAACACAUGCAAGUCGAACGGCAGCACAGUAAGAGCUUGCUCUUACGGGUGGCGAGUGGCGGACGGGUGAGGAAUACAUCGGAAUCUACUUUUUCGUGGGGGAUAACGUAGGGAAACUUACGCUAAUACCGCAUACGACCUACGGGUGAAAGCAGGGGAUCUUCGGACCUUGCGCGAUUGAAUGAGCCGAUGUCGGAUUAGCUAGUUGGCGGGGUAAAGGCCCACCAAGGCGACGAUCCGUAGCUGGUCUGAGAGGAUGAUCAGCCACACUGGAACUGAGACACGGUCCAGACUCCGACGGGAGGCAGCAGUGGGGAAUAUUGGACAAUGGGCGCAAGCCUGAUCCAGCCAUACCGCGUGGGUGAAGAAGGCCUUCGGGUUGUAAAGCCCUUUUGUUGGGAAAGAAAAGCAGCAGGUUAAUACCCCGCUGUUCUGACGGUACCCAAAGAAUAAGCACCGGCUAACUGCGU
rnacentral:rRNA from 1 species